GCCUAAGCAUUUCCUUUACUGACUCAUACAAGGUUUUUCAACAUUUCAGUACAAAAAGACAAGACAAAAAGAUGAGUCUUAAAAUCUUCAUUAUGGAACUCUGACAAUGAAUAGAGAAAGAAGGUGCAGGUACAUUUAGCACAUGUGUGAUGUGUACAUUUAGCACAGGUAUGCUGUGUACAUUUAGCACAGGUAUGCUGUGUACAUUUAGCACAGGUAUGAUAGUAUGCUAAUCAUGCUACUUGUAUGCUGUGUACAUUUAGCAGAUAUGUGCUGUGUACAUUUAGCACAGGUAUGCUGUGUACAUUUAGCAGAUGUAUGAUAGUAUGCUAAUCAUGCUACUUGUAUGCUGUGUACAUUUAGCACAGGUAUGAU
ensembl:lncRNA